rnacentral:tRNA from 1 species
GGCCGCGUAGCUCAGAUGGCAGAGCAUUGGGCACUAAUUCCAAAGGUCGUAGGUUCGAUUCCCACCGUGGCCG